CCUACGGGAGGCAGCAGUGGGGAAUAUUGGACAAUGGGCGGAAGCCUGAUCCAGCCAUGCCGCGUGUGUGAAGAAGGCCUUUUGGUUGUAAAGCACUUUAAGCGAGGAGGAGGCUCUUAAGGUUAAUACCCUGAUGAGUGACGUACCGCAGA
rnacentral:rRNA from 1 species